AAAUCGCUAUGAAAACUAUGCUCAAUUUUCUUUAUUAUAUUUAUUCAGACUCGGGGCUCCAGAAGAAAAGUCCAAGUAAAGAGACGAAAAAGAAGAUUUGUUUUUUCAGAAACAGACGAAAAGCAAGAUUAAUUUAUAGUAUCAAACACAAACAGAACCCAAUACGAAGUCAAAAUCAUGAUUUACGGACGUGGAUUAUUUGGUUAAUUUUUAAUUUAAUCUGUUAAAUCUCCGACAUUUGAACGUAAAGAAUUCUACAUUUUAUUUCUUUUAUUUUAUGGACUUGACGUUACG
rnacentral:misc_RNA from 1 species